ACGGGUGAGUAACGCGUGGGAAUCUACCCUUGACUACGGAAUAACGCAGGGAAACUUGUGCUAAUACCGUAUGUGUCCUUCGGGAGAAAGAUUUAUCGGUCAAGGAUGAGCCCGCGUUGGAUUAGCUAGUUGGUGGGGUAAAGGCCUACCAAGGCGACGAUCCAUAUCUGGUCUGAGAGGAUGAUCAGCCACAUUGGGACUGAAACACGGCCCAAACUCCUACGGGAGGCAGCAGUGGGGAAUAUUGGACAAUGGGCGCAAGCCUGAUCCAGCCAUGCCGCGUGAGUGAUGAAGGCCCUAGGGUUGUAAAGCUCUUUCACCGGAGAAGAUAAUGACGGUAUCCGGAGAAGAAGCCCCGGCUAACUUCGUGCCAGCAGCCGCGGUAAUACGAAGGGGGCUAGCGUUGUUCGGAAUUACUGGGCGUAAAGCGCACGUAGGCGGAUCGAUCAGUCAGGGGUGAAAUCCCAGGGCUCAACCCUGGAACUGCCUUUGAUACUGUCGAUCUGGAGUAUGGAAGAGGUGAGUGGAA
rnacentral:rRNA from 1 species